rnacentral:rRNA from 1 species
AAACAAUACUCCAGUACGCAGUUAACGGGAAGAGCUCAAAUUUGACACAUCUGGCNUNAUUCGAUUGUCCGAGUUGUAAUCUAUAGAGGCGUUUUCCGUGCCGGACCGUGAUUCAAGUCUCCUGGGAAAGGAGUAUCAAAGAGGGUGAUAAUCCCGUACUUAACACGACCACCGGUGCUCUGUGAUACGUCUUCUACGAGUCGAGUUGUUGGGAAUGCAGCUCAAAAUGGGUGGUGAAUUCCAUCUAAAGCUAAAUAUUGGCGAGAGACCGAUAGCGAACAAGUACCGUGAGGGAAAAGAUGAAAAGCACUUUGGAAAGAGAGUUAAACAGUACGUGAAAUUGUUGAAAGGGAAACGAUUUGAAGGUCAGUCGUGUUCUUUGGGAAUUUCAAGCCCCAAGUUCCUUGGCUGGGUCCUACCUUUCCCCUUUUUGAAACCGGGGGGUCCAAACCAUUCAGGUUUUUUGGGUCCCCGGGUGGGAAUAAAACGCGCCAAGUAGGGAAAUUGUUAGCCUUUCCUUCCCGGGGAACGUUGGUUAUUAACCCUUAUUUGGUCCACCAUUACCAACCUGGGGUGAAGAACUUGGAGGGAACUGGAGCUUCGGCCCCUUUUAUUGGGGCCCGAACCUUUC